UGAUGCUUCUCGCACUGAGCAACCACCUUCUACACAGUCAGGACCGUCGCACGCACACUCUGGUUGGGGCUGGCCCUCGCCGCCAUGAUUCUCAGGGUCUUUGGGAGUUAGACUGGCUUCAUGUUCCUUCCGCUGCCACCACUAUCGCCAGUUCCUCCGCUUCGGUCGCCUCUACUACCGGUUCCUUCCAGCAGUGGCAUCAUCGACUUGGUCAUCUUUGUGGUUCUCGCUUGUCAUCUUUAGUUCGUCGAGGUCUUCUGGGGUCUGUCUCAGGAGAUGUCUCUUUAGAAUGUCAGGGUUGCCGUCUUGGCAAGCAGAUUCAAUUACCAUAUUCGCAUAGUGAGUCGGUGUCUAAGCGUCCUUUUGAUUUAGUCCAUUCUGAUGUAUGG